rnacentral:rRNA from 1 species
UACAGAGGAUGCAAGCGUUAUCCGGAAUGAUUGGGCGUAAAGCGUCUGUAGGUGGCUUUUUAAGUCCGCCGUCAAAUCCCAGGGCUCAACUCUGGACAGGCGGUGGAAACUACCAAAGCUUGAGUACGGUAGGGGCAGAGGGAAAUUUCCGGUGGAGCGGUGAAAUGCGUAGAGAUCGGAAAGAACACCAACGGCGAAAGCACUCUGCUGGGCCGACACUGACACUGAGAGACGAAAAGCUAGGGGG